UAAUACGUAGGGUGCGAGCGUUAAUCGGAAUUACUGGGCGUAAAGUGUGCGCAGGCGGCGUUGCAAGUCGAGUGUGAAAUCCCUGGGCUUAACUUGGGAACUGCGCUCGAAACUACGAUGCUGGAGUGUGGCAGAGGAAGGUGGAAUUCCACGUGUAGCGGUGAAAUGCGUAGAGAUGUGGAGGAACACCGAUGGCGAAGGCAGCCUUCUGGGCCAACACUGACGCUCAUGCACGAAAGCGUGGGGAGCAAACAGGAUUAGAUACCCUGGUAGUCCACGCCCUAAACGAUGAUGACUAGUUGUUGGGGGAGUUAAAUCCCUUAGUAACGCAGCUAACGCGUGAAGUCAUCCGCCUGGGGAGUACGGUCGCAAGAUUAAAACUCAAAGGAAUUGACGG
rnacentral:rRNA from 1 species